rnacentral:rRNA from 1 species
AGCGUAGGUGGCCUAACAUGUCAACUGUGAAAACCCGGAGCUCAACUCCGGACUUGCAGUUGAAACUGGUAAGCUUGAGGACGGUAGAGGAAGACGGAACUGCCAGUGUAGGGGUAAAAUCCUUAGAUAUUGGCAGGAACGCCGGUGACGAAGGUGGUUUUCUGGGCCGGUUCUGACACUGAUGCUCGAAAGCCAGGGGAGCGAACGG